CUAGCAUAUCAAUAAGCGGAGGAAAAGAAACCAACAGGGAUUGCCUCAGUAACGGCGAGUGAAGCGGCAACAGCUCAAAUUUGAAAUCUGGCCUCCUUGGGGGUCCGAGUUGUAAUUUGUAGAGGAUGCUUCGGCGUGGGCCCCGGUCUAAGUUCCUUGGAACAGGACGUCACAGAGGGUGAGAAUCCCGUACGUGGCCGUGGGUGCUCGCCAUGUGAAGCUCCUUCGACGAGUCGAGUUGUUUGGGAAUGCAGCUCUAAAUGGGAGGUAUAUUUCUUCUAAAGCUAAAUAUUGGCCAGAGACCGAUAGCGCACAAGUAGAGUGAUCGAAAGAUGAAAAGCACUUUGGAAAGAGAGUCAAAAAGUACGUGAAAUUGUUGAAAGGGAAGCGCUUGCAACCAGACCUGUCUGCAGUUGCUCAUCCGGGCUUCUGCCCGGUGCACUCUUCUGCAGUCAGGCCAGCAUCAGUUCUGGCGGUCGGAUAAAGGCGGUGGGAAUGUGGCUCCUCUCGGGGAGUGUUAUAGCCCAUCGUGCAAUGCGGCCAGCUGGGACUGAGGUCCGCGCUUCGGCUAGGAUGCUGGCGUAAUGGUUGUAAGCGGCCCGUCUUGAAACACGGACCAAGGAGUCUAACAUCUGUGCGAGUGUUUGGGUGUCAAGCCCAGGCGCGUAAUGAAAGUGAACGGAGGCGGGAACCUUCGGGUGCACCGUCGACCGAUCCUGAUGUCUUCGGAUGGAUUUGAGUAAGAGCAUAGCUGUUGGGACCCGAAAGAUGGUGAACUAUGCCUGAAUAGGGUGAAGCCAGAGGAAACUCUGGUGGAGGCUCGCAGCGGUUCUGACGUGCAAAUCGAUCGUCAAAUUUGGGCAUAGGGGCGAAAGACUAAUCGAACUAUCUAGUAGCUGGUUCCUGCGGU
rnacentral:rRNA from 1 species